AGAGUGCUUUUUGAUAAAAAACACAAACAUUACAAAGAUAACCACCUGAAGGACAACUUGUGGAGAGUCAUAGCGUUGGAUUUCUCAUAUGACGAUGGUUUGUGUGCUUUAACAGUUUGCUAAACGUCUUUGUUUUAACUUUCAUCUGUGCUAAGUAACUUUAGCUCGUAAGCUAACCUGUUCAGAUACAACAUACCAUAUGUAUUUUCACUGUCUCAAACUCAAUCGCGUUGCUGUCACAGCACCAUUAGGUCUGGGUUGUUACCUUACGUUUAUGGAUUAUAGUUUAAUGUGCUUAUCUGGUACUGGCCCUGACUCAGUACAUGCUAUCAUGACAGACAGUCAUCUCAACACUAGUGUCUAAUCAGAGCUGAAAAACAGUCAGUCUGCUGUUGUGUCAGUCUCCUUUUUUCCCCCCGGAAAGUCACAAAAUUGCAUCGGGCUUGAUGUGUAUAGUCAGGCACGUCAAAAUUUGCCUCAGAACAUUUCGUAAUUUCGUGUCGUAUAUUUGCGUCGGUCCCGGUGUGUCAGGACCUGAAGUCUUGUAUCUUGAUUAUUUUUAUUCUUUCCUCUAAGGUUGUUUCCUCUCAUAUUGGUGCAGAGAAACAGCCAGGGUUAAAUCAAACCAACUCUAUCAAGACGGAAAAUACAUGUUUCUGCUAAUAAAAGAAGUGUUGAUGUCCUGUUUUCCCCUCAUGCUCCACCGAGUGGAAGCAGAUGUGUACAAUCUCCUAAGUUAUUAUGGCCUAUGAUUUUAUAAGUUUUAUGCAGGAGUUGGGGUUUUAAGUCUUUUUAUAUUGGUAAUAAAUGCUGCACUGAAAUUAUCUUAAUAUUUUUACUUUAUGUUUCUAAAUGUGCAGCUGCAUGCAGGGUGUAAACAUUUAGUUCAGCACACAGUCGGUAUCAUCUCCGCAUUAUCCAGAAACACCUCAGCCAUCAUUGCUGCACAUGUUCUGCAGUGAAAUUUUAACACACACAUAAAGAUUCAUGCUGCCUGUAUUUCUGUCUGAUUGUAAUGUCUCUCUCCCUCUCUCUCUCUCUCUCUGCAGGCUCUUCCAGCUUUUAAAAGGGAAAUGUUAGCUUGUUUGUAGCUGCUGGGGGCUGUUACUGUUAUUAAGAGUGAAGAUGCAUGUGGUGAUGCUUUCCUCUCCCAGCAGCCUGCCUUUCUGUAAUCUGGCGGGUAAAUAGCGUUUGGCUGCAGCCCAGUCCCUGCGCAGCAUUUUGAUCACACUCCUGUGACAGCGAACACCUGUGGACGACGGCUGAAGAUAAGACUUGUCAAGCAAGCCGAGCAGCGGCGGCAUCCCUGCAUACUGAUGGCCUGGAGGACGCUGUCUCAAGGUAAUUCUCUUCUGAAGGCCUUUUCACCAACAUGGGCGCAGAAAUUUUAAUUAGCAGCGUUAAUGUGAAUGAUUAAAUCAACCCGGCACUGCUGAUCUCUGAGCAAAGAAAGAGCCGGAAUAAUCCUGAGCGGAGAUACUCCCUCCGGCUCGUCUUUUGACAGUUUCUGAGAGCAAACUGUAUGUCACAUUUGGAUUCAGGACGAGAUGCACUCUUUAUUUGUUUCAGCUCUGAUAGCAGGUACCGAGUGGAAUGAAAUGUGACAGUAUUGUACCCGUAAUUACCAGAUAAGGAUGUCUGUUUUUCAGCGCAAAUCCACCUCCUGUCACAAUCUGUCUUUGUUAAGAGCUGUCAUUGUACCGAAACAGAAGGUCAGGAAAGCUUUCAGACCUUUAAUAGAACUAAACUUUGUUUUAUUUAAAAGUUAUUAGAGUCUUUUACAAGCGUUCAUGUACUUUUUAUCAUGUUACUGAUAAACUUAUUUGAAUGAAACUUCAUUUUUAACAUCAAAUGGGCUUAAAGCUGGUCUCCUUUUUACAUAUUCGGGUCCAAAAAGUUAAGAAUUGCUUUACUUUUCAUCAGUCUUCAGCGUCUACCAGCCACCAAGUUUUAUUCAUCCAACCAACGUGUGUGAACUUAAAGUUGAAACUGUUUGCUUAAAAGUCUGAAAACAUAACAAACAGGUUCCCCACAUUAACCUUUUUCGAUGGAGAUGAAUUUUGAGUAGAAUCAGCUGUUGCAUCAUCCUCAAAUUUCCACCGAAUGUGGAACAGCGGUAAAAAGGCUAUCAGCACCGAUCGCCACUGAUUGUUUCCAUGCAAGAUCAUGUGUCAAUUUCCACUUGCUUCUUUCCAGCCCCCUGCAGUUAAGCGGGCUUCGCAGCAUGCCGCAUAAAUUUAUCACAGAUUAGCCCCGUGCUGGAAAGGAAGUCGGGUACAGACACGAAUUAAAACAUCCGUCUUCUUCUCAAAAUAAAACACAAUGUGCCUCAGGUGGAUCGUACUUCACACCAUGCAAACGUGGGCGGGGAUGUACUCAUACAUUUUUUAGUUUAUUAUCUGUUUCGUAGAUAAAGAUAAAUACGGUUGUGUCUGAUCUACUGGGCUUGACAGAGUGGAUUUACAUUUCCAUUGCAUUUGAAUUCGCAGGUUCUUGUGAGUCCUCACAAUUCCUACUGUCCGAAAUUCGCCAUGAAAAUCACCUCAAAAAUGCAUCCGGUAGGAAUUGCCAGAUGGCUAAAAUCUCUGCCAUUCCGCAGUGGUGCUGUUCCAAAUACGGUGGAAAUUUGGGGUUAAAAGUAUCUAGACUAUAUCAUCAAAGACAAAGGGUAGGUAGGUAGUGCACAAAUGUAAACUAAAGCUUGUAAUAAUGGAAAUCAGGCUGUAGCUCCUGAUCUGCUUUAAUUUGAUUGAAAGAGGUGAACGUUUUAUCUAAACAACAAUCAGCUGAUGGGAUGUUGAUCAGUGAAGGUUGUAUCUCUGCAAAUCUACCAAUGACAGUUACCUGAAGAAAUACAACCACAGCUUUAUAUGCACAAAACAUCCUUUUCAAAUGUCUCUCACAAACCAGGAAGACUGGCGGGCACUGGCUUUACACCUUCAUAUCGAAGGCCUAUAGCUCAAAAGUGUUGAUUUAUUUACGAUCAAUAGCAAGAAAGAAAAUGUAUAAAAAGGUUUGUGCACUGAUUUCCCAGAACAAAUCUUCAACCUUCAAACCUGUAAAGACAUUUUAACUCUAGCUAGCUAUAAAAAAAGAGUACAACUUCAUUCUGCUGCUUGAAAAGAUGACUUCUUUCAUAAAAAAAAUAAUUAUAUAUAUAAAGCAGAACUUGCAGCUUUAUGUUCAAACUACAAACUGUCUCUGUAGCAGGAACAUUUUGGUCUAAAAGCAUUUAUUGACUGAUAAUUACAAGUAGGUUGAACACAGAAAUAAACUACAAGGUGCCAUUAAGUCACAAGCAUAACAAUGCACACAGCCUUUGGAGUAUAAUACAGUCUGAUACUAAGACACCGGCAGAACUGAAGGCUAAAAGAAAAGCCUGACACUGAAGCAGGUCCAUGGACACUAACUGUCACAUAUAACAAAUACAUAUACAUUAAUACAGUGUUUCUCAAGUCCAGUCCAACACACCUGAUUCAAAUGAUCAGCUCGUUAUUAAGCCUUUACAGAGCUUGAUAACGAGCUGAUCAUUUGAAUCAGGUGUGUUGGAGCAGGGAAACAUCCAAAACAGUGGGCCUCGAGGACUGGACCCUAGGAGCACCUCCAGAGUUUUGGUACCUUUUAAAAAAUUUAAUUUGGCCCCACCAGCUCAAGAGGUUCUUGUGUUUUCCAUCAGAGGUAGACUCAGGCCCUGUACUGAUGGCUGUUAUUUUUCACCUCCUGCUCAUUGGGCUGAUUAAUCAGAAUAUAAAGAUCCUCCUUCUGGUGUCUUCAAGAUUAAUUUUCAAACAAAUCACAACCUUUUUGUACAAAUUAUAUUUCUAAUUCAGUUUAACGUCCAAACCUUCAAAUCCAAACGCAAGCUGAAAUAUUGUUCUUAAGGUUUGGAGAUUGCUAGAGGUGCUUUCUUUGUGCCUUUCAUGAUGUUUACAAAACUUCCUCCCUACCUUUAAUCACUCCAUUAUUCUCAGACUAAUAAGUUAGAAAAGCUGGCCUUUGACAGCAGAAAUUUCCCUCACUAUCACCUCCAUCCACCUUGUUUCUGAGGUUAAAAAAUCUCCACAAAAAUUCUGAAUUGUUCCCUCCAUUUCUGACCGGCUCCCCCCGUCCUCCUCUCCUGGCUGCCCUUGUAUGUAAAUUCACAGAUACAUUCACCCUCAUUACAGAUAGCGGUAAUGAGAAACAGGGAAAAGAGCAUGUACUUGUCACUAUUGGCUGCAGUCUGUUGAUAAAUAGUCCCAAUUAGCCGUAACCUUCAAGGAGCCACUCGAGGUUUUACCACGAAAUCAGCUUUGUUUGCCCGGAACAAGUCCUCGUGUUCAAGUGAUUGAACACCUCAAAACUAGUAAAGAACUAAGUUUAUCCUCUGCACGCCUCGAGAGUUUCAACUUAAGGUUGUCCUUUAGAGGGGAGCUGAAUCUGGUUCUGGUGCUUCACGGUUUGAGAGAUUUAUUACUCAGAGAAAACUCUUUGCACUGAGAAAACACAGCUUUUUCAAGAGUACAAGCAGUUUUUAACCACCACUUUUUUUAGUGACAUUCAGCAGCUUUUCUUAGAUAUCAUUACGGUUUUCCUUGGGUCUGUCAGAACUUAUAAGUGGCCUCCAGUAAACCUGGUGUAGAGGUCAGAUGGUAUUGCUUUACAAGUAAAAAUACACUGGGGUCAUCUGCAAAUUGCUGAAGAUGUCCAACCCCCAAAAAUCAAAGAAUGCAAACGUACAUUUUCAUCGGUAACAAAGAAACAAGAUGUGUGGUACACUAUAGACUGAAUAUAGUAUGGACAACUUGGCUCCGCCUUCUGUCAUUAUACGAAUUCAAAUUACUUCCUGGAACCCCCACUUGCAUGGUAGCAUGGUACGCAUUCGGUGAGAGAGUAGCCAAGAAUCGCUGUGAUGACGCUCGGCUCAAACUGCGUAUCCCCUGGGUGAGCCGCAAUCUUCGUAUGUCCAUAGGCUGUAUCAAGUGUCAAUCAUAGAAAACAUGAACCCCCCAAUUACUAUCAGAAUGGAGCUGCACAGAUAAAAAAAGACUUGAGCAACGGUCUUACAGCAACUACAUGUCAAUAUUGCAACCGGGGGGGAGAAAAAUUCAUAUUCUGUGUAAUUAGUUUCUAAAGUUUGUCCACAGCUCCAUAGGGAUUGCUGGAGGAGGCGGGAUAUGACCUAUGAUUAAUGACCUAUACUGCAGCCCAUGACCUGAGGGUGCUGUUCUCGGGAUGGCUUCACCCAGCGAGGAGGCAGACGGCGUCCAUUCUAUACGCAGUCGAUGUGGUACACUGAGUCAACGGUUUGUAGGGUGGAUAUUGAUGCAUGCAUGUCCAGUAUAUCAGCAUAAUCAAUCACAGACAGAAAUGGAGCCUCCACAAGUUUGAUUAUUGGCAAUGGAAAGUACAUAUCUAAAAUAAAAGCUCCACUUUAGCUUUUUAAAAAGAGUCAUAACAUACAUUAAAUGAGGGUUUUUUGUUUAUCAAAAUAUACAAGUAGUUGUUCAAGGUCACAUUUCAAGGGUUUUCCAUCUGGAAAAGAUGCAAAGAAAAGAAGGAGGGGUGAAAAUAUGAAGCAUGUCAAAGGAUUUAUGCUGUGUUCCAUUUGUGCUUGGAUUUUCCGAGUUCCCAUUCAGAAAUUCACCUGGAACGCCCCCCUGAAGUUGAAUUUCUGACUUGUAAAGUCAGAUGAUCCUCACCAACCCCAACUUGAUGACAACUUCAUAAUCCAAGAUGGCAGCACAGUGCCUCAACAGUAAAGAGUAACAGUGAAAGCUCUCGUAAUGUAUUAUUUAUUAGCACUUCCGUUUUGUUUUAGUGAAAUUAAAUAAAUGGUAUAUGUUGCACUGCCCAAUGUCUAACUUUGAACAAGGUUCUAUAGUGUUUCUAAAAGGUCCUUUCACACUGGGACCAUUUUUGUCGUGCGAUUAUUUCAGACGUCAAUAUUUUUUUAUAACCCGUAUCCUGUCAAUACAAGCGUUCACAUCAGCUUCUGACCAAUCAGAUUUUCGUGCUGUUGCGACGUCAGCUUCACCAGUAUAUCCAACAUGGCAGAACAGAGUGCUUUUUGAUAAAAGACACAAAAUUUUGCAAAGAUAACAACCUGAAGGACAACUUGUGGAGGGUCAUAGCAUUUGAUUUCUCACAUGACAACGUUUUGUGUGCUUUAUCAGUUUGCUAAACGUCUCUGUUUUAACUUUCAUCUGUGCUAAGUAACUUUAGCUCGUAAGCUAACCUGUUCAGAUACAACAUACCAUAUGUAUUUUCACUGUCUCAAACUCAAUCACAUUGCUGUCACAGCACCAUUAGGUCUCAGUUGUUACCUUACGUUUAUGGAUUAUAGUUUAAUGUGCUUAUCUGGUACUGGCCCUGACUCAGUACAUGCUAUCAUGACAGACAGACAUCUCAACACUAGUGUCUAAUCAGAACUGAAAAACAGUCAGUCUGCUGUUGUGUCAGUCUUCUCGCUUCCACCCAGGACGCGUCUUUUUCCCCCCGGAAAGUUGCAAAAUCGCAUUGUGCUUAAUGUG